rnacentral:tRNA from 1 species
GGGGUUGUGGCUCAGUGGUAGAGCCUUACCUAGCAUGUGUGAGGCACUGGGUUCAAUUCGCAGCACCACA